CCUUCUGUUUUGUAUGGCUUCCCUUCCUAAUCUGCAUGGCUGUCAUACUAUAGGUCUGGCUUGUGUCUCGCGGGGUGUUGUAUUCAGCCCUUGUCAUGCAUUGCCAUUGCAUUUAGCUGCAACUCAAACCGGAGUUGACCUGAUACAGCGAGGGAAAUACUGUUGUUACAAUGGGCACUGCCUGCUUUUUGAGGAGUAAUGGGCUGUCUUACCACAUUCAUGACUGGAAAUUUGUUGUUUGGUCUUCAUUCUGGUUUGGGCAGUACUGAGGGUACUCAAAAUAGCAUUGUAUGUGAGUGAGAAACCACAGCUGAGGGACAAUGCCAACAUGCACAACUCUUGAGUUUGACACACUCAAACGGAAUUAAUUCAGUGUCUUUCAUCUUAUUGUUUUAGUUCUUUGCAAGAAUGACAGCUUACAUCUGAUUUAUUUUUUUAAAGCUGUCCUCGAGGAGCAGGGCUGGGACGUCUGUUCUCUUAAGGAAGCGCUGUGUUGGGACCACAGCUCCUUGGGUAGAGGGGGUCCUGGGCAAAUUUUGGGGGCUGCUGGAAGCUGAAUACCAUGGGCUGUGAGGAACACUCAUUGCCCAUUGCCUUUCUCAUCUCCUGGGAAAUUUUGUGAAAUCUGGGAUUUAAAACCACCCAUGUUUCUAGUGAAUGGUUAAGUGAUUAUCCCUUCCAAGUUUCUUUAGAGGGUAGCAGGCAGGUCAAAGCAGGUCAGCAAGACUGAUAAAACAGCUGAAGGGAUAGGAAAGUAAUAAAUGCUGAAGUUCAAAGGCGGACUUUGAGUUGUGCCUGGGCUGACAGUGUCUUCCUUUCCCAAGUAGGAACCAUAAAGGGUUGAACAUUGAUCUUGACAUGCUGUGGUACUGCCAGGAACCAAAGCUAAGAAGGCAUCUGUCCUCCAGAAAUUUGGAAAUGUGGAACUCUGAACAUUGCACCCUCACAUUAGAGACUGGUGACAUUUUCCUACCACACCCCACGGUAUCUUGUAGCUUUACGUAACUGUGCUAUCUACUUAAUCCCUCUGCGGUGCCGACAGUUUCACUUUCUCAAAGAAACGUCUGUGUGGAAAUGUAUUAUACAUACAAAGAACAUCACUUUACCUGGAUCCAAGGACAGGAAUAGCUGGCACUUCAUCCUUUAGUCUGGAAAUACACUCUUACUUUCCAGAGUAACCAGUGAAGCAUGGAGGACGUGGUUGUAAAUUAAACAGGACUCUAAGGGACUUCUUGAGAAGGCAUUAGGCAUCGGGCCUGUAGUGCCUGGCUGUGUCAGGGCAAGUGGUAAGAGUUGAACAUGCUGUGGGCCUUUUGCAGCAGGUUUCUGUUCAGAGUCUCCAAGCAGCAGCAGAAACGAUUUGGGACGGGGUGGGUAGCUCCGGAGACACGAGCAGGCCGAGGCACAGGCCUGAACGUGCGGCCUCCUCAGAGCAUCGGGCUCAGAGCAGCCGGCAGGGUGGAUGGCUGGAAUUUGUUCAGACUAAAUGGGGAUUCGCGGAGAAAGCAGAGCGGGGAAGCUUAGCGGGGACAAGAAGCAGAGGAGGGUGGCAUUUGAAAUGGAAAAGAAAGCUGGUCUGUCUUUGUUGGAUAUGCCUUUUGAAAUGUGAGCCUGUCUUGUGGCCACUUGGAGGAUUUCCCAUAAAAAGGAUCAUUCUCCCCUAUUUAAGAAUUUGAGGGAAGUUUGUCUUUGGAAAUGGCUGACCUCAACAUUUCUAGACAGCAAGUAAGGUUACAGUAAUUAUAAACCAGUCCUUGAGGGUAAUGGAAUGGGAUGCAAAAUCAAGGUAUUAUUUUGUUAAGGGGUGGAGUGGAGGAAUGGAGAACAUGAUAUGCCAAGCAGGUGGACAGCCUGUGUUUAAAAUUAGAUAACAGCUUGGUUCAGAUUCCCCACCCAUCUCUUAUUAAAAAAAUACAGUGCCAUGUUGCCAAAUAAUAAAACUAUAUCCAGGUUUAUAUAUAUAGGUCUCAUAGCUAUAUAAAGGUUCUAUCAGUUCUUAGCUGAAGGUUGCUAGCUGUAAACAUGGGGGGGAAGGAGGGGCAAAUUGCAGUAUGUCUCUUAAUUUUUAUGGAGUAGGAUUUUGAAAAGGAGAAGGGGAGAAGGAGCUUUACUAUUGCAUCUCCCCACAUAGGGGAAGCUGUCUGGAUGGAUGGUGGCUGAGCUGGUUCAGUGUUUUAGCCUAACAAUUUCCUUGGGCUCCCUGGAGAGGUUGCAGUACUCAAGGGGGAGGUUGUGAGAGAAUAGCAGCAGCCACUGCUAACAGUUUUUAUUCAGGUCUGUUAUGAUGUGCUUGUGAUUUGCUGGAGUUUUCUGAUGUUGACCUUGGUCCAGGCUUGAUGGGUGUUUUAUUGCUUAAACGUUCCCAAGUGCCACUUUUCAAACUAGAAGAAAGUAAUCAAGGAAGGCAGUUACCUGCAUUUUGUCGGUUAAGAAUUAAGGCUCAGAAGUUCUGGAUUUUCCAAAGUUUAAGCCUAUAAUGUGUUUUGAGAACCAAGUCCACAUCUCCUGACAUCCAUCCUUGUCUCCCCCUUGCCCUGAUGAGGAGCAGCAUGAAAUCAGACAGUUCCCGAGGCACUGAACACAGCAAGCUAAGCUGCAGAAAGUAUUUUAUAUGCUGCAGUUGGAAGAAUAGUAUGGGGUGCUUCAGGAAUCGCAGAGCGUGGAGACAAGCAGCUGGUCACAGCACGCAGAGGAUCUCAGCUGCAGCCUCUCAAAGUCAGAGCAUUAAGGUACUGCGCAACAAACCAGCACCGGUGAUGAGUGGCGAUUCAGAUGUUAGAUGUACCACGUUCUGCUUCAUUUUGGCAGCUUUAGCCGUGACACUGAGCCCCUCUGUUUCUGAAAGAAAUAAAAUGUCUUGGCUAUUUGGGCCAUGGUGGAGGGGUUGUACAGGGAAAAAUCUGUUUGCAGGCAGCACAGUUGAUGUUUUUGCUGAUUUUGAACGUUUUGCUCAUCUCUGCACGCUUCCCCUUGGAAUCUCUAGACAGUUCUUUUCCCCAAAAAACGUGCUGCCAGAAAAUUUUGGCAGGAAUCCGGUUAGUUGCUAAAGCUCUAGCAACUGCUGCAACACGUACAUGUUCCAGGUCAGCUUUAUAACAGGAAUUCAUUUCCAAAGACUUUGCUGCAGUCUCCAAAGCCCUCAGUCAAAUAAAACGUCGGUCCCAUGUUUUCUUUCUCACCCCGCGUUAUCUUAUCCUUCAGUUUAACCGAGUCCUUUUUUUGGAGAGGGAUUUGUCCUGUUCCUUGCCUUUCUCGCAGCCUCCUGCAUGGUUGUGCUUGCUUUCUCUUUCUCAGGUGUAUGAAACUUCACCUCUGGCUGCUGUUACUCCUCAGCUGGUGCUUCAGCGGUGACCCUGCUGUUACAAAGCCUAGCAAACAAAACAAAUGUCACAACUAUGCGGAAACAGAUGACAAAUGGGGUUAGUAGGGAGUUAUUUUCUUGUACUUCUGUAGGCUAAUUCACACAGCAAAAUCAUCUUAGGCUGGUUUUGGUGUGGUGAUGUUCCCCUAUACAAAGAAGGCAAUCUCUCUUGCAUAGUCUCACUGUGCCGAUCCUGACCUUCACCCCAUGUGGGCUACUUGCAUCUGCUAAACAGUAAGAAAAGGCAAGACAGCCAGCCCCUGCUGCUUCACCCCCUGCCUUCUGAACCUGCAACUCAGCUCCUCACCAAAUCCUCAGAUCCAUCACUUAGUCCACAUCUUGGUCCCAGGUUAACUGCACGCGGCCUCAACUGGAUGUUUCUCUCUGAUACAUGUUAGACCAAUAUUUAAUGUGCACUUUACCAACAUAAAGGUCUUGAUGGGGUAUAUCACUUACGACAGAAUUGACUGGAAUUAAACAAGUCUUCUGGAGCACAGGAACAAUUGUUCUUCAAAGGCCCUCUCCCCAGGAGAAGAGGUGGAACAACAGUCUGCAGAUUUACUGCCUCAAGUUGGUGCUCAUUGCAAAGGAUUUUUCUGAAACAUGUCUUUUUCCAUCUUACCACAUGGCAGUGGAUGUCCUGUGUAUACUGGCCACUCUUCUGAAAGCUAGAAACCAGCUGCAGUUAAUGUCCAUCACCUUCUGUCACGAGUCACCAAGCUGGGAGCCAGUGAGCAGGAGCUGGAGAUGUCGCCUUCAGCUUUUUCCUUUUACCACUGCAAUCCUCAGAUAGUCAAUAACACUUUCCUGCAGUGUGAUCGGGCUGGGGCUGCAGUUCUGUAGACUUAAAUUGACAUAAAGCUGUCACUGAAAGUCAUGGUCGUUCUCUUGCUGCUAUUUGGUUGGGCCAGAUGAGUUUCAACCUCCGCUGGUUCCCUAAAACCAGUUCAAAGCACGGUUGCACACAACUUAGUGCUGGCACGAGGUAUGGAAGAGACAGGCUGGAGGGAACUCGUCGAUCAGCGGCCUUCUUUUCCUUUAAAAUGUUCCUAGGCCUAUGGCCUGGAUCCUCGUCUCGCAUUCCUGAGCAGCAGCGUUGACUCACGCGGGCUCGUGUUGAAGAGGCAGGAGACGACACGGUCUCCGUGCCAAGGACACUAUAAAACCCAAGUGCAUCCGAGUUGUGGUACCAAUUAAAUCUCUCUCCUGUUUUUGAUGAUAGCGUUGGCCCUGGGAAAGACAAUUUUUUUUUCCAGGCAUGGCCAACUGUGAGGCCGCUAUCUGGGAGAUCGCAUUUUAGUCAAUGAAAUUGUCCCACUUCUUCUGUUUAGAACCAGCUCUCGUGAAGCCAAAGCUAUUACCCAGAUGCUUGUCAGGCAGACACAAAAACACUUUGCAGUAUAUUUUGGCUCCCUUUUAGGGGACUUCCUGCCAAUAGAGCAAUGGCAUUUGCCCAAGUUUACCGUGAACUUGAGGGCAGAUUUCUCUGUUCCUACCCUUGGAACGCUCCAGAAAACAUGUUUUCCAUUUUGCACAGGAUAAAAGGAGCUUCCCUCGACGGGGCUGCUGAUGGCAGCAUCCCAGGCAGCGAGCACAGUACAUGUCCUCCUCGGCAUCAGACUGAACGCUGCUCCCCACUUCUUCAUGGGGAAAGAAUGCUCUGUUUCUUACUCUUAAGAUGGUCUAUUCUUGGUUAUUCUUAAAUCUGGGCAAACCUAUGGUCAGUGCCUCAGGUUUUCUUGAAGCUCUAGGCCUGGCAUGUUCUGUCAUGGCUGGUAGAA